rnacentral:rRNA from 1 species
AUUGAACGCUGGCGGCAGGCCUAACACAUGCAAGUCGAGCGGAUGAAGGGAGCUUGCUCCUGGAUUCAGCGGCGGACGGGUGAGUAAUGCCUAGGAAUCUGCCUGGUAGUGGGGGAUAACGUCCGGAAACGGGCGCUAAUACCGCAUACGUCCUGAGGGAGAAAGUGGGGGAUCUUCGGACCUCACGCUAUCAGAUGAGCCUAGGUCGGAUUAGCUAGUUGGUGGGGUAAAGGCCUACCAAGGCGACGAUCCGUAACUGGUCUGAGAGGAUGAUCAGUCACACUGGAACUGAGACACGGUCCAUACUCCUACGGGAGGCAGCAGUGGGGAAUAUUGGACAAUGGGCGAAAGCCUGGUCCAGCCAUGCCGCGUGUGUGAAGAAGGUCUUCGGUUUGUAAAGCACGUUAAGUUGUGAGGAAGGGCAGUAAGUUAAUACCUUGCUUUUUUGACGUUACCAACAGAAUAAGCACCGGCUAACUUCGUG